CCUACGGGAGGCAGCAGUGAGGAAUAUUGGUCAAUGGGGGAAACCCUGAUGCAGCGACGCCGCGUGAGCGAAGAAGUAUUUCGGUAUGUAAAGCUCUAUCAGCAGGGAAGAAAAUGACGGUACCUGAGUAAGAAGCUCCGGCUAAAUACGUGCCAGCAGCCGCGGUAAUACGUAGGGAGCAAGCGUUAUCCGGAUUUACUGGGCGUAAAGGGAGCGUAGGAGGACUGCCAAGUCUGAUGUGAAAUACCGGGGCUGAACCCAGGGGUUGCAGUGGAAACUGGCAGGCUGGAGUGCCGGAGAGGCAGGCGGAAUUCCUAGUGUAGCGGUGAAAUGCGUAGAUAUUAGGAGGAACACCAGUGGCGAAGGCAGCCUGCUGGACGGGGACUGACGCUGAGGCUCGAAAGCGUGGGGAGCAAACAGGAUUAGAUACCCGUGUAGUC
rnacentral:rRNA from 1 species